UACGUAGGGUGCUAGCGUUGUCCGGAUUUAUUGGGCGUAAAGAGCUCGUAGGCGGUCUGUCGCGUCGGCUGUGAAAACCCGGAGCUCAACUCCGGGCCUGCAGUCGAUACGGGCAGACUGGAGUUCGGCAGGGGAGACUGGAAUUCCUGGUGUAGCGGUGAAAUGCGCAGAUAUCAGGAGGAACACCGGUGGCGAAGGCGGGGUCUCUGGGCCGGGUACCGGACGCUUGAGGAGCGAAAGCGUGGGGAGCGAACAGG
rnacentral:rRNA from 1 species